rnacentral:rRNA from 1 species
GGAGUACGGCCGCAAGGCUAAAACUCAAAGGAAUUGACGGGGGCCCGCACAAGCGGCGGAGCAUGCGGAUUAAUUCGAUGCAACGCGAAGAACCUUACCAAGGCUUGACAUGAACCGGACCGCCGCAGAAAUGUGGUUUCCCCUUUGGGGCUGGUUUACAGGUGGUGCAUGGUUGUCGUCAGCUCGUGUCGUGAGAUGUUGGGUUAAGUCCCGCAACGAGCGCAACCCUCGUUCUAUGUUGCCAGCACGUGAUGGUGGGGACUCAUAGGAGACUGCCGGGGUCAACUCGGAGGAAGGUGGGG